AGAGUUUGAUCAUGGCUCAGAUUGAACGCUGGCGGCAUGCUUUACACAUGCAAGUCGAACGGUAACAGGCCGCAAGGUGCUGACGAGUGGCGAACGGGUGAGUAAUGCAUCGGAACGUGCCCAGUCGUGGGGGAUAACGCAGCGAAAGCUGCGCUAAUACCGCAUACGAUCUAUGGAUGAAAGCGGGGGACCGUAAGGCCUCGCGCGGUUGGAGCGGCCGAUGUCAGAUUAGGUAGUUGGUGGGGUAAAGGCUCACCAAGCCGACGAUCUGUAGCUGGUCUGAGAGGACGACCAGCCACACUGGGACUGAGACACGGCCCAGACUCCUACGGGAGGCAGCAGUGGGGAAUUUUGGACAAUGGGCGCAAGCCUGAUCCAGCAAUGCCGCGUGCAGGAAGAAGGCCUUCGGGUUGUAAACUGCUUUUGUACGGAACGAAAAGGCUCUGGUUAAUACCUGGGGCUCAUGACGGUACCGUAAGAAUAAGCACCGGCUAACUACGUGCCAGCAGCCGCGGUAAUACGUAGGGUGCGAGCGUUAAUCGGAAUUACUGGGCGUAAAGCGUGCGCAGGCGGUUUUGUAAGACAGGCGUGAAAUCCCCGGGCUUAACCUGGGAAUUGCGCUUGUGACUGCAAGGCUGGAGUGCGGCAGAGGGAGAUGGAAUUCCGCGUGUAGCAGUGAAAUGCGUAGAUAUGCGGAGGA
rnacentral:rRNA from 1 species